rnacentral:rRNA from 1 species
AUUGAACGCUGGCGGCAUGCUUUACACAUGCAAGUCGAACGGCAGCGCGGGCUUCGGCCUGGCGGCGAGUGGCGAACGGGUGAGUAAUACAUCGGAACGUGCCCAGUAGUGGGGGAUAGCUCGGCGAAAGCCGGAUUAAUACCGCAUACGACCUGAGGGUGAAAGCGGGGGAUCUUCGGACCUCGCGCUAUUGGAGCGGCCGAUGGCAGAUUAGCUAGUUGGUGGGGUAAAGGCCUACCAAGGCGACGAUCUGUAGCUGGUCUGAGAGGACGACCAGCCACACUGGGACUGAGACACGGCCCAGACUCCUGCGGGAGGCAGCAGUGGGGAAUUUUGGACAAUGGGCGAAAGCCUGAUCCAGCAAUGCCGCGUGUGUGAUGAAGGCCUUCGGGUUGUAAAGCACUUUUGGCGGGAACGAAAAGGACUAUGCCAAUACCACGGUUCGAUGACGGUACCCGCAGAAUAAGCACCGGCUAACUACGUG